UACGUAGGUGGCAAGCGUUGUCCGGAUUUACUGGGCGUAAAGAGCGCGCAGGCGGCUGGGCAAGUCCGAUGUGAAAGCUCCUGGCUUAACCGGGAGUGGUCGGUGGAAACUGCUCGUCUGGAGGACGGUAGAGGUAGGUAGAAUUCCCGGUGUAGUGGUGAAAUGCGUAGAGAUCGGGAGGAAUACCUGUGGCGAAGGCGGCCUUCUGGGCCAACACUGGACGCUCAUGCACGAAAGCGUGGGGAGCAAACAGG
rnacentral:rRNA from 1 species